AAACAUCUCCCGGGUAUAUAUUCAGCUCCUUGUGCAUCUCCUCUCAGUCAUCUCGCCCCUCCUCCUCGAGCUCCUUUCGCCCUCGCCGUCGCUUCCGAAGACAACAUGAAGUUCCUGUGCCUCGUGCUGCUGUGCCUGGUGGCGGUCGCCGCGGCCAGAAACUGGUACAGCUUCGACCUGGAUGACGACGACAUCUACAGGCCCGUGCGCAGGUCGUGGAAGGCGGUGGGAGGCUGGCGAGCGGUGUCGUCUCCGUCCAGAGGCCUUUACUUCGACAGCGACGAGGAUUCGGACAGUUAUGAGGACUAGGGCUAUGGCUUCGACUUAGACAAAAAAAAAAAAAAAAUAGUUAAUUAAGUCAAGCCUGAGCCUUUUCCUCUCUCUUCGUCUCCUCUUGUUUAUUCCUCGCCCCCGAAGGUCAUCAGCUUCAACAUAGGUGCUGGCUUACAAAAUGAGCUCUUAUUAAUCUCUAAUAAUUAAUUAAAGUUUAUUCUUCGAG